rnacentral:rRNA from 1 species
UGCAGUCGAACGAUGAUCCCCAGCUUGCUGGGGGGAUUAGUGGCGAACGGGUGAGUAACACGUGAGUAACCUGCCCUUGACUCUGGGAUAAGCCUGGGAAACUGGGUCUAAUACCGGAUAUGACUGCUCCGCGCAUGCGGUGGUGGUGGAAAGCUUUUGCGGUUUUGGAUGGACUCGCGGCCUAUCAGCUUGUUGGUGGGGUAAUGGCCUACCAAGGCGACGACGGGUAGCCGGCCUGAGAGGGUGACCGGCCACACUGGGACUGAGACACGGCCCAGACUCCUACGGGAGGCAGCAGUGGGGAAUAUUGCACAAUGGGCGAAAGCCUGAUGCAGCGACGCCGCGUGAGGGAUGACGGCCUUCGGGUUGUAAACCUCUUUCAGUAGGGAAGAAGCGAAAGUGACGGUACCUGCAGAAGAAGCGCCGGCUAACUACGUGCCAGCAGCCGCGGUAAUACGUAGGGCGCAAGCGUUAUCCGGAAUUAUUGGGCGUAAAGAGCUCGUAGGCGGUUUGUCGCGUCUGCUGUGAAAGACCGGGGCUCAACUCCGGUUCUGCAGUGGGUACGGGCAGACUAGAGUGAUGUAGGGGAGACUGGAAUUCCUGGUGUAGCGGUGAAAUGCGCAGAUAUCAGGAGGAACACCGAUGGCGAAGGCAGGUCUCUGGGCAUUAACUGACGCUGAGGAGCGAAAGCAUGGGGAGCGAACAGGAUUAGAUACCCUGGUAGUCCAUGCCGUAAACGUUGGGCACUAGGUGUGGGGGACAUUCCACGUUUUCCGCGCCGUAGCUAACGCAUUAAGUGCCCCGCCUGGGGAGUACGGCCGCAAGGCUAAAACUCAAAGGAAUUGACGGGGGCCCGCACAAGCGGCGGAGCAUGCGGAUUAAUUCGAUGCAACGCGAAGAACCUUACCAAGGCUUGACAUGAACCGGUAAUACCUGGAAACAGGUGCCCCGCUUGCGGUCGGUUUACAGGUGGUGCAUGGUUGUCGUCAGCUCGUGUCGUGAGAUGUUGGGUUAAGUCCCGCAACGAGCGCAACCCUCGUUCUAUGUUG